UACGAAGGGGGCUAGCGUUGCUCGGAAUUACUGGGCGUAAAGCGCACGUAGGCGGCUUUCUAAGUCGGGGGUGAAAUCCUGGAGCUCAACUCCAGAACUGCCUUCGAUACUGGAGAGCUUGAGUCCGGGAGAGGUGAGUGGAACUGCGAGUGUAGAGGCGAAAUUCGUAGAUAUUCGCAAGAACACCAGUGGCGAAGGCGGCUCACUGGCCCGGUACUGACGCUGAGGUGCGAAAGCGUGGGGAGCAAACAGG
rnacentral:rRNA from 1 species